rnacentral:lncRNA from 1 species
ACCAGUUUUAUUGAAUUAGGGUCCACGCUCACCUAAUUUUACUUUAAUCGCCCCCCUUUAAAGGCUCUAUCUACAAAUAUAAUCAGGACUGCAUUAUAUGAAUUUUGGGCGCAGGGAACACAAUUAAGCCCUGAUAUGGUUUGCUGUAUCCCCACCCAAAUCUGAUCUUGAAUCGUAGCUCCCAUAAUUCCUACAUGUCGGGGGAGGAACCCAGUUGGAGGUAGUUUAAUCAUGGGGAUAGGUUUUUCCUGUGCUGUUCUCGUGACAGUGACUAGAUCUCACGAGAUCUGAUGGUUUAUAUAAAGGGCAGUUCCCGCGCUCACACUCUUGCCUGCCACCCUGUGAGGUUUGUCUUUGUUGCUCCUUAGAGGUCCAUGGUGAUUGAGAGGCCUCCCCAGCCAUGUGAAACUUGACCUCUCAUUGAGGAGAGAGGGAAGAAGGACGAACGAAAAUGAGGUUUUCUCUGAUGGCAAGUCAAUUUAAGAGAACCCUCUGAUCAAUGAGUGUGCUUGGUUAAGCUCUUUGAAGAUUGGUUUGAACAACAUUCCAAGAAAAGACAUAGGUGCAAAUGCUAUAAAACUGGAGUGCACAGGUGUUUUUACGAAACCAAAAGCAAUGUGGCUGGGGCAAGUAAGCAACAAAGCAAGAAGACUGUGGGAAGAUGACAUUGUGCACAGACAAGAUUAUGUGGCGCCUUGAGGGACGUGGCAAGAAGUUGGAUUUUAGUUUCCUGCAGUAAAAACCUAUUGAUGGUGAUCUGAUUACAUUGAACAUCUCAGAAACAAAAUUAUGGCUGCUGGUUGGAUGAUAGGAGAAUAAGAGUGGAAAGCAAGGAGAUGGAAACUUAACAAGCGGUUGAUGUAAAUUUGGCUAGAGAUGAUGGUGAAUUUGUAAUCACUAAGAGGUGGUAGGAUUCAGGACAUAUGUUUUGAGGGAUCUUCCUGAUGAAUGAGAUGAGAGUGAGCAAAAGAGUGGAGUCAAGUGUGCAUGUUAGUUUUGUUUGUCUUCCCCUGAGGAAUUGGGUUGUCAUUGCUGCUGUUUGCUAAGAUGGGAAAAGCUUAGAAACAAGAACAUAAAAUA